rnacentral:rRNA from 1 species
UCUGGCUCAGGAUGAACGCUGGGCGGCGUGCUUAACACAUGCAAGUCGAACGGUGAAGCUCCAGCUUGCUGGAGUGGAUCAGUGGCGAACGGGUGAGUAACACGUGAGCAACCUGCCCCGGACUCUGGGAUAAGCGCUGGAAACGGCGUCUAAUACCGGAUACGCACCAGAAUCGCAUGGUUACUGGUGGGAAAGAUUUUUUGGUUCGGGAUGGGCUCGCGGCCUAUCAGCUUGUUGGUGAGGUAACGGCUCACCAAGGCGUCGACGGGUAGCCGGCCUGAGAGGGUGACCGGCCACACUGGGACUGAGACACGGCCCAGACUCCUACGGGAGGCAGCAGUGGGGAAUAUUGCACAAUGGGCGGAAGCCUGAUGCAGCAACGCCGCGUGAGGGAUGACGGCCUUCGGGUUGUAAACCUCUUUUAGCAGGGAAGAAGCGAAAGUGACGGUACCUGCAGAAAAAGCGCCGGCUAACUACGUGCCAGCAGCCGCGGUAAUACGUAGGGCGCAAGCGUUAUCCGGAAUUAUUGGGCGUAAAGAGCUCGUAGGCGGUCUGUCGCGUCUGCUGUGAAAACCCGAGGCUCAACCUCGGGCCUGCAGUGGGUACGGGCAGACUAGAGUGCGGUAGGGGAGAUUGGAAUUCCUGGUGUAGCGGUGGAAUGCGCAGAUAUCAGGAGGAACACCGAUGGCGAAGGCAGAUCUCUGGGCCGUAACUGACGCUGAGGAGCGAAAGGGUGGGGAGCAAACAGGCUUAGAUACCCUGGUAGUCCACCCCGUAAACGUUGGGAACUAGUUGUGGGGGCCUUUCCACGGUCUCCGUGACGCAGCUAACGCAUUAAGUUCCCCGCCUGGGGAGUACGGCCGCAAGGCUAAAACUCAAAGGAAUUGACGGGGACCCGCACAAGCGGCGGAGCAUGCGGAUUAAUUCGAUGCAACGCGAAGAACCUUACCAAGGCUUGACAUAUAGAGGAAAGGGCUGGAAACAGUCCCCCCGCAAGGUCUCUAUACAGGUGGUGCAUGGUUGUCGUCAGCUCGUGUCGUGAGAUGUUGGGUUAAGUCCCGCAACGAGCGCAACCCUCGUUCUAUGUUGCCAGCACGUAAUGGUGGGAACUCAUGGGAUACUGCCGGGGUCAACUCGGAGGAAGGUGGGGAUGACGUCAAAUCAUCAUGCCCCUUAUGUCUUGGGCUUCACGCAUGCUACAAUGGCCGGUACAAAGGGCUGCAAUACCGUGAGGUGGAGCGAAUCCCAAAAAGCCGGUCCCAGUUCGGAUUGAGGUCUGCAACUCGACCUCAUGAAGUCGGAGUCGCUAGUAAUCGCAGAUCAGCAACGCUGCGGUGAAUACGUUCCCGGGUCUUGUACACACCGCCCGUCAAGUCAUGAAAGUCGGUAACACCUGAAGCCGGUGGCCUAACCCUUGUGGAGGGAGCCGUCGAAGGUGGGAUCGGUAAUUAGGACUAAGUCGUACAAAGGGUAACCCAAAAAGGAUAGAACACAUCCUAUUGCGCAUAACAUAGAGUAUGGCGAAGGAAGCUAACCUGAUAGACAGAGGUAGAGAGUGAUCGAGUAGUCGAGGUGGAGGUUAUACGAUCGACU